rnacentral:rRNA from 1 species
ACGGUCCAGACUCCUACGGGAGGCAGCAGUGGGGAAUAUUGGGCAAUGGAGGAAACUCUGACCCAGCGACGCCGCGUGCGGGAUGAAGGCCUUCGGGUUGUAAACCGCUUUCAGCAGGGAAGAAGCGAAAGUGACGGCACCUGCAGAAGAAGCACCGGCUAACUAUGUGCCAGCAGCCGCGGUAAUACAUAGGGUGCAAGCGUUGUCCGGAAUUAUUGGGCGUAAAGAGCUCGUAGGUGGUUCGUCACGUCGGAUGUGAAACUCUGGGGCUUAACCCCAGACCUGCAUUCGAUACGGGCGAGCU